rnacentral:rRNA from 1 species
UGCCGCCGGUCCUAAUCAUGCAGUCGAGCGGACUUGAUGGAGUGUUUGCACUCCUGAUAGUUACCGGCGGACGGGUGAGUAACGCGUAAGUAGCCUGCCCAUAUGACUGGGAUAACCCACGGAAACGUGAGCUAAUACCAGAUAGGCAUUUUCCUCGCAUGAGGGAUAUGAGAAAGGCGGAGCAAUCUGCCACUUAUGGAUGGACCUGCGGCGCAUUAGCUAGUUGGUAAGGGAACGGCUUACCAAGGCGACGAUGCGUAACCGACCUGAGAGGGUGAUCGGCCAGACUGGGACUGACACACGGCCCACACUCCUACGGGAGGCAGCAGUAGGCAAUCUUCCGGAAUGGACGAAAGUCUGACGGACCAACGCCGCGUGAGUGAUGAAUGUUUUCGGAUCGUAUAUGUCUGUUGCCAGGAAAGAACGCCUAUGAAAGUAACUGCUCCUAUGGUGACGGUACCUGAGAAGAAAGCCCCGGCUAACUACCUGCCAGCAGCCGCGGUAAUACGUAGGGGGCGAGCGUUGUCCGGAAUUAUUGGGCGUAAAGCGCGCGCAGGCUUCUAUGUAAGUUGGGUGUUUAAACCUAGGGCUCAGCCUUGGGUCGCAUCCAACACUGCAUAGCUUGAGUACAGAAGAGGAGAGUGGAACUCCACGUGUAGCGGUGAAAUGCGUAUAUAUGUGGAGGAACACCAGUGGCGAGCGCGAUUUUCUGGGCUGUAACUGACUCUGACGCGCGAAAGCGUGGGAGAGCACACAGGAUUAUAUACUGUGGUACUCCACGCCGUACACGAUGAAUGCUAUGUGUUAGGGGUUUCGAUACUCUUGGUGCCGACUAUAACACAUUAAGCAUUCCGCCUGGAGAGUACGGUCGCAAGACUGACACUCAAAGGAAUUGACGGGGCACCCGCACAACGCAGUGGAGUAUUGUGGUUUUAAUUUCAAAGCAACCGCAAAAAACCUUAUACCAGGGUCUUGGAAAU